rnacentral:lncRNA from 1 species
UGCUCGGGGUCCCGAGCAACCGAGGCGAGCUCGCCCGCGCCCCCGGCCCUAUUUGGGGCUCAGAGGAGGGGGCAAAAAAGAGCGAGGGGCAGGAGAAAAAGUUGCAUCCAGUCCGGGAGCCUGGCAGGGGCACUACCUCGAGGAAAAGCCGGGGCAAACUGGCGAAGGGUCCUCCCACCGCCGGCGAGCCAGAAGGAGCCGGGUCCUGCUUGGAGAGGCGGCCGGAGCGCAUCGGCGGGGCGGCGGCGGCUCCGUGUCCGCCGGGGGAAAAAGGGUUUGGGAAAAGGGGUGGCGGAGCUCCGCGGAGGGGCUGAGCCUUUGGGGUGGAAGCUUUUUGAGGGCUCGCUCCUCGGGGAUGCUCCCGGGGGGUGAUCCUAGAGGGCGAUCCUUGCGGGCGCUCCUUGGGGGUGCUCCUUGGGGAUGCUCCUUGGGGGAUGCUCCUUAUGGGGUCGCCGGAGCUCCCGGCAGCUCAGCGGGGAACGGGAAGGAGACGGAGGCGCCUCGCUGGCUCCGGGCGCUGCCCGAGGGCCCGGGUGGGGCCGCUAUGGGGUGGGUUGGGGCUGGGGACGGGGCUGGGGCUGGGGUUGGGGUUGGGGCUGGGGCUGGGGACGGGCCCGGCCCCGCCGCGCUCGGCAGCGGCCGCCGCAGCGCCCCGGAGGGGAGCGGGGGCGCCCUCUGGGGGCCGCCCGGGGAAGGGCUGAGGGAGUUAUGGGGGGGUUAUGGGGUGGCUUUGGGGUUUGCAGGGUUAGGGGGGGAGUUAGGGGGUGUGGGGGGUUAGGGGGGUGCGUUUGGGGUUUGGGAAAGGGGCUGCGUUAAGGGCCUGGGGAGGGGGCUGGGGUUGGGGGCUAGCUUAGGGGGCUGGGUUAGGGGCCUGGCUUUAGGAUCAGGGUUUAGGGUCUCGGUUAACGGUCUGGGUUAGGGGUCUGGGUUUAGGGUCUGGGUUAGGGGUCUGGCUUUAGGAUCUGGGUUAGGGGUCUGGCUUUAGGAUCUGGGUUAGGGGUCUGGCUUUAGGGUCUGGGUUAGGGGUCUGGCUUUAGGAUCCAGGUUAGGGGUCUGGGUUUAGGAUCUCAGUUAGGGGUCUGGCUUUAGGGUUUGGGUUAGGGGUCUGGGCUUAGGGUCUGUGUUUAGGAUCUCAGUUAGGGGUCUGGGUUUAG